rnacentral:rRNA from 1 species
CCUACGGGAGGCAGCAGUGGGGAAUAUUGCACAAUGGGGGAAACCCUGCUGCAGCGACGCCGCGUGAAUGAAGAAGUAAUUAUUUAUGUAAAGCUCUAUCAGCAGGGAAGAAAAUGACGGUACCUGAGUAAGAAGCCCCAGCUAACUACGUUCCAGCAGCCGCGGUAAUACGUAGGGGGCCAGAGUUAUCCGGAUUUACUGGGGGUAAAGGGGGCGUAGACGGCAGUGCAAGUCUGGAGUGAAAGGGGGGGGCUCAACCCCCGGACUGCUCUGGAAACUGUACGGCUGGAGUGCAGGAGAGGGAAGUGGAAUUCCUAGUGUAGCGGUGAAAUGCGUAGAUAUUAGGAGGAACACCAGUGGCGAAGGCGGCUUACUGGACUGUAACUGACGUUGAGGCUCGAAAGCGUGGGGAGCAAACAGGAUUAGAUACCCGUGUAGUC